UUUCCCUCUCUUGUUUUUAAACAAAGGUUAACAUCCCAUUUUCUCAAACCCUAGGCAGCAGCAAAGAGAAGAAGUAAAACCGCAUGUGAGCCUUGUGGUUGCGGCAAUGACCGAACACUUGCCAUCAAUAUUCGGGACGGGGAAGGUCAUGGUGAAUUGUCCGUUCUACUUCAAGAUCGGCGCGUGUAGGCACAGUGAUAGGUGCUCUUUCCUCCACACGAAGCCGAACAUAAGCCCUACCAUUCUGCUCUCCAACAUGUACCAGCGCUCCGACAUGAUAACCCCCAGCGUCGAUGCCCAGGGAAACCUCAUCGACCCCCACAAGAUCCAGGACCACUUCGAGGAGUUCUAUGAGGAUAUAUUUGAGGAGCUCUCCAAGUACGGAGAAAUCGAAAGCCUCAAUGUCUGCGACAACGUCGCCGACCACAUGGCGGGCAAUGUAUACGUUAAGUUUAGAGAGGAGGAGCAUGCUGCAAAUGCUGUCAGGAACCUCACUGGACGGUUUUAUGCCGGUAGGCCAGUUAUUGUGGAUUUCUCGCCGGUGACGGAUUUUCGAGGAGUUACUUGCAGGCAGUAUGAGGAGAAUACUUGCAACCGCCGUGGCUGCAACUUCAUGCAUUUGAAGAGAAUCAGCCGGGAUUUGAGACACCGAUUAUUUGGGAAGCACCAUAGAAGGAACAGCAGAAGCAGGAGUCCUUACGGGCAUCGCAGCCAUGAUGAGCGGUCCCAUCGUAGUCAUAGCAGAAAGUACGAUGACAGGGACCACCAUCAUGAGAGUCGUGGUAGGAAACACAGAAGUUCGAGUCCUGGACUUAGGAGAGGAAGAAGUCGAAGUCCUGGACGGAGGAAGCACCGCAGUCCAGUCAGAGAUGGCAGUGAGGAGAGGAGGGCGAGAAUUGAGCAGUGGAACAGGGAGAAGGAAGAACAAGAUCCUGGAAACAAUACUAAAGCUGAUGACAUUGACAAUGGUAACAAGGGGUACUCUCUAAAUGCUAGCGAAUCUCAUGGGCAUCAGCAUCAAGAGCAGGAACAACAAACUCCAAAUGAGGCUUAUUGAUCUGUUUAUGUUAUUAUGGUUUGUGUUCUCUCCCUUUUGUUUGCCUAUUCAUUUGGAUCUAGGCAGCAUAUUUUAUUCUAGAAUAUACCACCCACAGGAUUAAUACAGCUCACCACCCAUAUUCCACUGUGCAGGUUUAGGUAUUAUGAAAUGAGCCCUCUACUUAGUUGAAGUUCACCUCAUUCAUGGUACUAAGCUAUCGGAAGAACUGCUCAAAAGAAGCAAGCCUCUACCAUCCUGGCACAACAAAUCUCCUAUAUUACAAAUCCAGCACAACAAAUCUCUUAUAUCUCAAAUCCUCGCUGACAUACUGUAAGCUAUCCCUGACACCCAUUCCCUUCAUUUUUUUUUAUUCUCAUUAGUCCGUGCUUCGAAUUAAACACGGUCUUUUUCAGACGGAGAAUGUUUGUUCAGAUCAGAGAGAGGAACGGAAACCUCACUAACCAAUUGUAUUUUGGUUAGUUGUGUUUUUGCUCUGUUUUGUUUGGUUAACUGCAACUUGUCAUUCAUAUUGAAACUUUGAUGAUGGCAAGCUAGUUUAGAUGGAAUAAAAAAAAAUUUUGAUAAUUGAUGAAAACUUUCUAGAUUGUGCACACUCAGUAAUAUAUAUAUAUAUAUAUAUAUAUAUAUAUAUAUUUGAAUGUGGUGGGAGAAUUGGUGCGUAUUAUUCCCAAUGACGAAAAGUUUAGUAAUCUGAAAGGGGGGCGUGGCGUUCAGCGAUAAAAAAUCACUGGGUCUCCCUAUUGCAGCAACUUACUAUCAUUGUUGCUUCUAAGGUUGAGAAACCCAUUUGAUUCCAUGCCCUGUCCCUUGUCGAUACUUGGCAUUCCGAGGGAUU